GAUGAGAUUUAGGUGGGGACACAGAGCUAAACCAUAUCAAUUGCCUAAGCCAUACGUUCCUUGAGGGCAGAGAUUAUUUACAGCCUAGGAAGACCAAUCACCUUGGCUUUAGCACUGAAAGUCCUGAGUUCCAGGAAACACUUUCAGCUCCUAUCCCCAGUAUUUGGCACAGUGUAAGUACUAAAAUAUUUGUUGACAGUGAACAAUCAUAAUUGAGAUAGAUGGAUGGGGUUUUCCUAGGCCCAUGCUCCUUCUGGUGGCUCCUCUCUUCAUGGGAACUUUGUCUUUCUGUUUCUAUUAUUUAAGCUCUUAGGUCUGUUGGACUUGGGGUUUCUUGAUCAUAGUGAUUCUUCGUGUUCAUGCUUGUGAGACCUCACCUGUGUAGCAAGUCACAGGAGGAAGGUAUGAUGUGAUUGGCCUCAACCUCUCUAAUGAUUAGAAAUACUGACCUUAGAGUAAUAAUGGUUGUCUGUGGACCAAAAGAAUGUGUGUUUAUAGAAAUUUGUUUUCACACAAUUAUGGUUGUUGAAUAUAUGUAAAUUUACCCCAGGAGACUCACUUGUAAUAACGCUUAACCCUAAUCCUGCUGAUAUUGUAAACUAGACAGCUGGUUAUACUGUGGUUUGCUAAUAACUAUUCUAAGACCACCACAAACCAGUUACCACAGGGAAAUAACUUUCAUCGUUGCCCACACAAUUUGGGUUGGAUUUUUUAUGUGUAAUUCUUGGAAGUGCUUACCACCACCUAAUUAUUUUGUUUUUAAGAAUACUAAUCCAUCUUGCUAGGAUUCUUUAUUCAUUUCUAUUCAAAAAAUAUUUGAAAGAAUACAGCCUUUUGCUAUGUUCUUGGAAAGCGAUAGAGGAGUAUAAGACAACAAUCCAGCCCACAAGGGGCUUAUUAUUUUUUCUGUCUUCAGAAAUGCGUACAAAAGUAUAUGAGAAUAUGAUCUUGUUAUUUUAACCUUGAAUAUAUCAUUCUGGUGUGGGUAUUUAAGGGUGGGAACAUUUUCUUAAUGAAAGUUUGUGGAGUAUUGGUUUCAGCCACUUUUUGCCUUGAGUAGAUUGUAUAACCCAGGGAGUCGCCAAAGAAUUCUGUGUUUUUAUUUAGGAACAUGAAGAUUAGUACAAUCCCAUCUAUAUAACAUAACAUGAAAUGAUGAUUUGGUGGUAAAAAUUGGAUCAACAAACUGGCAGUCUUAAAAAGCUAUCAAGGUUUGAUUUGCUACUGAUCUAUAUUAUAUGAUGUAGAAUUUUAAGAAAUCAGGUUCUGCUAAUCACUCCUUCCCUGGAAAGGAUCUCAAGGGAACUGUACACACAGGUAACAUCUAGGGAAGGGCAACCAUUGUCCCACUUAAUCAGCUGAGUUAGUGUGCAAAGCAUAGCUCCAGCAAAACUGGAGUGGAACAAAGCAGUUUUGACCUGAUAUCCAAGAGGAGUUUCUUUCUUUCUUUUAAAGCUAAGGUUUGGAUGGACUUGUGGGGAAAAGAAAGAGAAACUUAGAGCUUACCUUGAGGCAGGCCCUGGUCCUUUUAUUAGCCAGUAGCAUGGAUUAGGAAAUAGUAGAAGAGAGUAAAACGUACCAUUGGACGUGAACUCCUCCUACCAGGAAAUGUAUCCUCUUCAGAGUGUUCAACUUUGACCCUUCCACUUAGCAGCAUUCCUCUUGGAGGAGGUGGUAGACAGAAGAGGUCUGAGAAUUUCUGCUCUACAGCUUGAGCUGAGGUUGUGGCACUGCGCCUGGAGAUGGCUGGAUAGAAUCAAGACAUUGCCAAAGCGUCUGAGCAGUCUUCAGAUUUUGGUGGGUAAACCUGAGCCCAUGGAAGACAGUGAGAAGAUGCACCUGGCUGACAAGAGAAGUAAGGGAAGAAGGCAUCAGCCAGCAUCAUGGAAGGUCAUGUGUUGGUGUCCCCCGUCCUCGCAUUAGAAUAUCAGGUUGGCCUCUUGGCCUCUUGUGGACUAUUGUAGGCCCACAAGAAUAGGAGUUAUUUGACUUUUUUUUUUCUCCUGAAUAUGGAGGGUCAAGUGAUUACCACAAUCUCAGCUUUUUAUGCUCUUUAGUUUUGAAGAGGGAGUUUUAUUGAUAUUGACUUUAAGAAUUACCUCUAUUAAAAAUUUGUGGACUAUAAAAUGUUUAAUAUUUUGGUAAUGCACUCAUAAAUCUUGAAGGUUGUUGAAUAAAGUGCUUAAUUUCAUAAAUAUUUUAACAAUUAUUAAUAUAAAAUCAAUAUUUCAGCAUUUAAUAAGUAAACAAACCAUUAUUUAGGAUAAUUCUAAAUAAUUGUUAAUAAUGUAACCAUGUACCACUAUGCAUAAAUCUUACCUUGUGUGCUGUGAAUCUCUUUAACUUACAAACAUUAUCUGUAUUAAAACCAAUUCUAUCUCAAGGUUUUUCAAUUGCAACAAAGUGAUUGGUAGUAAUUUUAGGACUACAAUUUUACAGAAAGGAAAUUGGCUCUGAAAGGUAAUUCUCUGGUCCUAAUUAGAUUCAUAAUAUAUGCAUCUCAGCUAAAAGUUAUUUCAGUUCUGCAAGUCUCUGAAGUAAAAACUGAACUAUAAAGGGACAACCAUCAGGCAGAUAUGGAUGAUAUUGGAAGGCAGAUAUUGGAAAUCUGUUAUAAUGGUUUUUUUUGUACUCAUCAUUUUUGCUGCUAUUUAUGACCAUGCUGCCUUGACUUUAUAGCCUUGGUUCUUUAUAUUAAUCAUAGAUACAAGCACUUGCAACAUUGUAUCAUUUAAUUUAGAAAACUGAAUAGGGAAUUUCAGUUUAUCCUUCUUGACUGAAAGCAACUAUAAGUGCAAAUUUCUCCCUUUACUAUGGCAUUUAAAUCUUGAAGAUGCCAUCUUAAGAGAAUGAUAAUUAUAUCCAAACCUAUACAAAUGCUGACAUUUAUUUAACUCUUUCUUUGUGCUUGCCCUGUGUUGGGCCAUAAGCUCCCUUUCUUCUGGGCUUUGCCUGGAAUAUUCUCUUAGUUCCCUUCUUUCCUUCCUAUCACCUUUGCAAGGUUCCUCGUGUAAGACUUAAACAACACUACCCUAAUCCUUCUGAAAUGGAUUAAGUCUCUUAUGUGAUCCUGUAACUUCCAAUACUUCUUUCUUUCUAAAAACUUCACAUGUAAAUAUUUAUUUACUCUGGGUUUUUCAUGUUAAACUCUGAGAUCUGUAGGUGCAGGGAUAAUAUCGUGUCUACUUCAUUUAUCACUUAAUUUCUUGUAACUGGUUAAGUGAUGAGCACAAAGGAGUUGUUCAAUAAAUAUUAGUUGAAUAAAAGAAUCAUAUUGA
rnacentral:lncRNA from 1 species